UUUCCUGUAGUGCAAUGGACAGCGUGUUGGAUUUCUAAUCCAAAUGUCGUGGUUUCGAAUCCCACCUGGGAUG